CCUACGGGUGACUGCAGUCGAGAAUCAUUCACAAUGGGGGUAACCCUGAUGGUGCGACGCCGCGUGGGGGAAUGAAGGUCUUCGGAUUGUAAACCUCUGUCAUGUGGGAGCAAAUUAAAAAGAUAGUACCACAAGAGGAAGAGACGGCUAACUCUGGGCCAGCAGCCGCGGUACUACAGAGGUCUCAAGCGUUGUUCGGAAUCACUGGGCGUAAAGCGUGCGUAGGCGGAUUCGUAAGUCGCGUGUGAAAGGCGCGGGCUCAACCCGCGGACGGCACAUGAUACUGCGAGACUAGAGUAAGCGAGGGGGAUGCGGAAUGCUCGGUGUAGCAGUGAAAUGCGUAGAUAUCGAGAAGAACACUCGUGGCGAAGGCGGGUUCCUGGACAUUAACUGACGCUGAAGCACGAAGGCCAGGGGAGCGAAAGGGAUUAGAUACCCUUGUAGUC
rnacentral:rRNA from 1 species